GGUGAGAUGGCCGAGUUGGUCUAAGGCGCCAGGUUAAGGUCCUGGUCUGGAAACAGGCGUGGGUUCAAAUCCCACUCUCAUCA